GUUUGCAAAGGAUGGAGUGGAUACCACUGAUGGGUGCGACUCACCCAAGGUGAAGCAUGAAAAUAAAUGACGCUGAGCCUCACGACUGUGUACAGGGAAGAUCUGGGAUUCCAGAGAGGAGCCCUGGGCAGGAGGUGGAGCACAAGUGGAUGCAGGUCUCCCGUUGUACAGAUAACAAAACCGAGUCCCAGGGAGGGGCCGAGAACUUCCAAGCUGUCCUCUGUGUGUGGGAAGCCCUUCUCCAUCUUCUUGCUCAUCCACGGGAGCAUGUGGCCCGCGAAAGCCGGCCAUUUUGGCCCAUGUUCCCGUUGAGUAGAACCGAGUCAUGUGACCCCCAACCUAAUCGCAAGGGUGGCUGGGAAACACGGAAGCGCACACGGAAGUCUGCUGAGCACCAUUGCCUCCGCCAUCCUCCCCUAUUAGAAGGUAAGCUCCCUGAGGGAAGGGACUUGGUCAUCCUUGUCACCACUGUCUCCCAGCAGCUGCCACGUGUUGAACACCUGCGAGGCUUGGAUGCAUGA
rnacentral:lncRNA from 1 species